AUGUGUCCAUCUUUACCUUUCUGAAAAAAUAAGAAUGUUGUAAUUAGCAUUCUAUGUUUGAAUCUGAGGCUCACUAUUUAUAAGCUGUGUGAUAAUGGGAGAGUUACCCGACUUCUCUGAGCCUCAGUUUUAUCAUUGGAAAACAGCAUAAAUGUACCAUAUUGUAAAGAUCUUGUUAGGAUUGAUCGUGGUGACUCGGUAGAUAAAGCUCCUAGUGUAAUGCCUGGCCCUCAUCAUCAUGUUCAUCAUUAUUAUCACUGUGUUUCUGAAAUGUCACUGAAACGUGUCUUUUAUAGGUGGAACAUAAAUAAUGAUACCUGGGUCAUAACUGAGCAACUAAAACCUUUAACAGUGAAUUUGGACUUCCGAAGAAACAACAAAACUGUCUUCAAGGCUUCAAGCUUUGCUGGCUAUGUGGGCAUGUUAACAGGAUUCAAACCAGUAAGGAGUCUGUUGUUACAUAAUUAUACGGGGACUGUUCAGUCUUACACUGAAUGAACGUUUCAGUAUAAAUGGUGGUUAUCUG
rnacentral:sRNA from 1 species